AUGGUACCAUUUGGGAGGCCAGAGAAGUUCAUUUUGACUGCCUCCACAAAUGGCUGGAUAUCGAUCUCGGCAUCACCCAUCUUAUCAUCUCUGCUGAAUGUGUCCUUGUCAUAAACUUGCUACAAGAUCAUAUCAACAGCAGUUACAACGAGGCACAGAUAUUAUCUCAAGUCAAUUUGCUGCUACUUUUUCAAACUCGAGUUCAUGCUUCUUGUUCAGUGCAUUAUCAUGAGAAGCAGUUCAUCAAGAUUACCAUUUUCUCAUAGCUGAUAUCGAUAAUAGUCGAUCAACCUUCAUGCUUCUUUUUAGCUGACUGUAUAUUAGUAAAAUGUUUGCCCAAAGCAACAUUGAGCACUAGAUUUAUAUUAAUAAAUGGCAUCUUAUUAU